AAACAUUGUGAUUAUGUAUUUAUGGUCUCAAUCGCUAGAUUUAAGUCUUCUACAACACAGAAUGAAUUUCAUUUUUUAAAAUAUGGUCUCGUUGAUUUUAAAAUUGGUGAUAGAGCAGGGGGUGUUAUAGGGCGUGGCUAUGAUGGGAAUGCAAGUGAAAUUGUGUACCACAACAAAGUGCA